GAUGAACGCUAGCGGCAGGCUUAAUACAUGCAAGUCGUGGGGCAGCGCGGGUAGCAAUACCUGGCGGCGACCGGCAAACAGGUGCGGAACACGUACGCAACCUUCCUUUAAGUGAGGAAUAGCCCAGGGAAACUUGGAUUAAUACCUCGUAACAUUAUGAGAUGGCAUCAUCUUAUAAUUAUAGCUACGGCGCUUAAAGAUGGGCGUGCGGCUGAUUAGGUAGUUGGCGGGGUAAUGGCCCACCAAGCCUACGAUCAGUAACUGGUGUGAGAGCACGACCAGUCACACGGGCACUGAGACGCGGGCCCG
rnacentral:rRNA from 1 species